rnacentral:tRNA from 1 species
GCUCCCGUAGCUCAGAUGGAUAGAGCGUCCCCCUCCUAAGGGGAAGGUCACUGGUUCGAAUCCAGUCUGGAGCACCA